rnacentral:rRNA from 1 species
GAUGAACGCUGGCGGCGUGCCUAAUACAUGCAAGUCGAGCGAACGGACGAGAAGCUUGCUUCUCUGAUGUUAGCGGCGGACGGGUGAGUAACACGUGGAUAACCUACCUAUAAGACUGGGAUAACUUCGGGAAACCGGAGCUAAUACCGGAUAAUAUUUUGAACCGCAUGGUUCAAAAGUGAAAGACGGUCUUGCUGUCACUUAUAGAUGGAUCCGCGCUGCAUUAGCUAGUUGGUAAGGUAACGGCUUACCAAGGCAACGAUGCAUAGCCGACCUGAGAGGGUGAUCGGCCACACUGGAGCUGAGACACGGUCCAGACUCCUACGGGAGGCAGCAGUAGGGAAUCUUCCGCAAUGGGCGAAAGCCUGACGGAGAAACGCCGCGUGAGUGAUGAAGGUCUUCGGAUCGUAAAACUCUGUUAUUAGGGAAGAACAUAUGUGUAAGUAACUGUGCACAUCUUGACGGUACCUAAUCAGAAAGCCACGGCUAACUACGUG